rnacentral:rRNA from 1 species
AUUGAACGCUGGCGGCAGGCCUAACACAUGCAAGUCGAAUGGUAACAGGAAACAGCUUGCUGUUUCGCUGACGAGUGGCGGACGGGUGAGUAAUGUCUGGGAAACUGCCUGAUGGAGGGGGAUAACUACUGGAAACGGUAGCUAAUACCGCAUAACGUCGCAAGACCAAAGAGGGGGACCUUCGGGCCUCUUGCCAUCAGAUGUGCCCAGAUGGGAUUAGCUAGUAGGUGGGGUAACGGCUCACCUAGGCGACGAUCCCUAGCUGGUCUGAGAGGAUGACCAGCCACACUGGAACUGAGACACGGUCCAGACUCCUACGGGAGGCAGCAGUGGGGAAUAUUGCGCAAUGGGCGCAAGCCUGAUGCAGCCAUGCCGCGUGUAUGAAGAAGGCCUUCGGGUUGUAAAGUACUUUCAGCGGGGAGGAAGGGAGUAAAGUUAAUACCUGUGCUCAUUGACGGUACCCGCAGAAGAAGCACCGGCUAACUCCGUG